CUAUCUGUGCCGAACAAAAUAGAGUAGUACUUGGUAAAAACUUUCCAAAAUCCAAACCAAAGAAAGCUACAUCAAACUACCUUGUCCUGACCCUCUCUCUUUCUUCCCCCCCUCUUCUCUCUCUCUAGAGCCAUAAUCGAUUCUUUAAAGCAUUUUGCUUGUUGAAAACCGGUCAUGAAUUCGCCUCUCCCUGCAAUACCCUCCCUUCAUCCCCUCAAUUUCUUGACCUGAUCUGCAAGUCUAGGUGAGUUACUGAAUUUUUAUGGUGCUAGCAAGGUGAAUUUGUAAGAGGAUCUUCUUGAUUACUUUCUUUUUUGAGCAAAUGGCUUCUGUAAGUGUUGUCCCUGCCUCUGGAUUGCGAGAUACACGUGGAAACACAACUGGUAUUGAUAAGUUGCCUGAUGAGAUGAAUGGCAUGAAAAUUAGUGAUGACAAGGAAAUGGAAGCAGCUGUGGUUGAUGGUAAUGGAACCGAGACAGGUCAUAUAAUCGUCACGACUAUUGGUGGCAAAAAUGGCCAGCCAAAGCAGACAAUAAGCUAUAUGGCUGAGCGUGUUGUUGGGCAUGGAUCUUUUGGACUAGUGUUCCAGGCGAAAUGUUUAGAGACUGGUGAAACUGUUGCUAUAAAAAAGGUUCUGCAAGAUAAAAGGUACAAGAACCGGGAGCUGCAAACCAUGCGUCUUUUAGACCACCCUAAUGUAGUGUCUUUGAAACACUGUUUCUUCUCAACAACUGAAAAAGAUGAACUCUAUCUUAACCUGGUACUUGAGUAUGUCCCUGAGACCAUCCAUCGUGUAAUCAAACACUACUAUAAGAUGAGUCAAAGGAUGCCUUUGAUAUAUGUCAAACUUUACUUUUAUCAGAUUUGUAGAGCUCUUGCUUACAUUCACAAUAGUAUUGGAGUGUGCCAUAGAGACAUAAAGCCUCAAAAUUUAUUGGUGAACCCACAUACGCACCAAGUGAAACUAUGUGACUUUGGAAGUGCAAAAGUUUUGGUUAAAGGCGAACCAAACAUAUCUUACAUAUGUUCUAGGUACUAUCGAGCACCUGAACUUAUUUUUGGUGCCACUGAGUACACCACGGCCAUUGACAUCUGGUCUGCGGGAUGUGUUCUGGCUGAAUUACUGCUUGGACAGCCUCUCUUUCCGGGUGAGAGUGGAGUGGACCAGCUGGUUGAAAUUAUAAAGGUUUUGGGUACCCCGACAAGGGAGGAAAUCAAGUGCAUGAAUCCUAAUUACACAGAGUUCAAAUUUCCUCAAAUUAAAGCUCACCCAUGGCACAAGAUAUUCCACAAGCGCAUGCCUCCUGAAGCUGUGGACCUUGUCUCAAGACUAUUGCAGUACUCUCCAAACCUCCGAAGCACAGCUCUGGAGGCUUUGAUCCAUCCCUUCUUUGAUGAGCUGCGUGAUCCUAAUGCCCGUUUACCUAAUGGACGCAUCCUUCCACCACUGUUCAACUUUAAGCCUCAUGAGCUGAAAGGAGUACCAUUUGAGAUGCUUGUCAAGCUGAUCCCAGAACAUGCAAGAAAGCAGUGUGCCUUCCUUGGGUUGUGAUGCUGUCCUUUCUGGCGGUAUGCUCCUUGCAGAAAAUGGUGCUCCACUGUAGAGAAGUAGCUAGUGAGAGCAGGUAAAGAAGGCUCUGCGUAGCAUGUUAUUAAGACCUCCAUGGCAUUACUGACCCUUAAUCUUUAAGUGAAAGACAAGUUGCAACUUAUGUAAUUUUCUUGGCUACAAUUCGAUCCCAAGGAUUACAUUGAAAGAAGAUUUCUGUUUCCUCUGUUUUUAUUUUUUUUGGCUGCAAAACAGAUUAAGCAACCCAUAAUUCUCAGCUUGAUCUAUCCUCCUUGCACGAUUAAUGGAUGUCAAGUAGACCAGCGGGGGCUUGUCCGUACAGGAUUUAUUCAA